rnacentral:rRNA from 1 species
AUGGGUGGAUCUACUAACCUUCCUCCUGGUUUCCAUUUCUUCCCCUCCGACGAAGAACUCGUCAUCCAUUUCCUCCGCCGCAAGGCGGCUCUCCUCCCAUGCCGACCUGACAUCGUCCCUACGCUGCCUCAGAAUCGCUACGAUCCAUGGGAGCUGAAUGGCAAAGCACUUCAAGCAGGGAACCAGUGGUACUUCUUUAGCCAAGCAACACAGAGUAGGACCUCACGAAAUGGGUGCUGGAAUCCCAUCGGUGCCGAUGAGGCAGUAAGUAGUGGCGGUUCUCAUGUCGGCCUGAAGAAGACACUCGUCUUCUCCAUUGGGGAGCCCUUUCAGGCGACCAAAACCAACUGGGUUAUGCAUGAGUACCACUUACUUGACGGGAAUGGGGGUACCAGCAGUUCAGGUAGUUCACGCAAGCGGUCUCACAAGAAGAAAGACCACCCAGACAAAGAAUGCAGCAAUUGGGUGGUGUGUCGGGUGUUCGAGUCGAGCUACGAUUCGCAAGUGAGCUUCCACGAGGAGGACAUGGAGCUUUCAUGCUUAGACGAGGUGUUCCUAUCCCUAGAUGACUAUGAUGAAGUCAGUUUGCCGAAGAAUUAG